rnacentral:rRNA from 1 species
UACGAAGGGGGCUAGCGUUGCUCGGAAUUACUGGGCGUAAAGCGCACGUAGGCGGAUUGUUAAGUCGGGGGUGAAAUCCUGGAGCCCAACUCCAGAACUGCCUUCGAUACUGGCGAUCUCGAGUUCGGGAGAGGUGAGUGGAACUGCGAGUGUAGAGGUGAAAUUCGUAGAUAUUCGCAAGAACACCAGUGGCGAAGGCGGCUCACUGGCCCGAUACUGACGCUGAGGUGCGAAAGCGUGGGGAGCAAACAGG